rnacentral:rRNA from 2 species
AAUCCAUAGGUUAAUGAGGCGAACCGGGGGAACUGAAACAUCUAAGUACCCCGAGGAAAAGAAAUCAACCGAGAUUCCCCCAGUAGCGGCGAGCGAACGGGGAGGAGCCCAGAGCCUGAAUCAGCAUGUGUGUUAGUGGAAGCGUCUGGAAAGGCGCGCGAUACAGGGUGACAGCCCCGUACACAAAAGCGCAUGUGCUGUGAGCUCGAUGAGUAGGGCGGGACACGUGGUAUCCUGUCUGAAUAUGGGGGGACCAUCCUCCAAGGCUAAAUACUCCUGACUGACCGAUAGUGAACCAGUACCGUGAGGGAAAGGCGAAAAGAACCCCGGCGAGGGGAGUGAAAAAGAACCUGAAACCGUGUACGUACAAGCAGUGGGAGCACAGGUUUACCUGUGUGACUGCGUACCUUUUGUAUAAUGGGUCAGCGACUUAUAUUCUGUAGCAAGGUUAACCGAAUAGGGGAGCCGGAGGGAAACCGAGUCUUAAUUGGGCGUUAAGUUGCAGGGUAUAGACCCGAAACCCGGUGAUCUAGCCAUGGGCAGGUUGAAGGUUGGGUAACACUAACUGGAGGACCGAACCGACUAAUGUUGAAAAAUUAGCGGAUGACCUGUGGCUGGGGGUGAAAGGCCAAUCAAACCGGGAGAUAGCUGGUUCUCCCCGAAAGCUAUUUAGGUAGCGCCUCGUGAAUUCAUCUCCGGGGGUAGAGCACUGUUUCGGCUAGGGGGCCAUCCCGGCUUACCAACCCGAUGCAAACUGCGAAUACCGGAGAAUGUUAUCACGGGAGACACACGGCGGGUGCUAACGUCCGUCGUGAAGAGGGAAACAACCCAGACCGCCAGCUAAGGUCCCAAAGUCAUGGUUAAGUGGGAAACGAUGUGGGAAGGCCCAGACAGCCAGGAUGUUGGCUUAGAAGCAGCCAUCAUUUAAAGAAAGCGUAAUAGCUCACUGGUCGAGUCGGCCUGCGCGGAAGAUGUAACGGGGCUAAACCAUGCACCGAAGCUGCGGCAGCGAACGUAUCACUUAAAGCGAUUCAGCGGGUUACGAUUGACGGAGCGAAGCGAC